rnacentral:lncRNA from 1 species
AAAAAAACAAUCGACUUCUUCCUCUCACUCCACCCCCAUCUUCGCAUCUCAUCUCCAUUAAGAAGACAAAGAAAUCGAAGUGGCUGUUCAUUUUCUUUCUCUUUUUGAUGUGUGUAAAUGGGCAUUGAUUUAUUUUUAUUUUUGCUUUCUUUUUCUCGAUUGUGAAGAUGCUGCAAUCGUGUGUCUUUGCAUGGUUGAGCGAAAAGAGAGAGUUUUAAGGUUUUCUUCAAAUGGAUACCAAAGGAAGGCUUGUGACUGGUUCACACAACAGAAAUGAGUUUGUACUCAUCAAUGCUGAUGAGAAUGGAAGUGUAAGAGCUUCAAAAGUCAUUCUUUUUUGCCCUUUUGCAUUUUCAGCUCUCCAAUUGGUUGCAAUUUGCAGCUCCAGUUGGUUUAAAAUUUGCUUAUUUUAGGUUUAUUGACUAGAUGCCAUGCCUAAUUACUUUUCUUCAGUCGAAUUGUCUUUUUAGGAUUCAUAACUUCAUAUUUCUGUUGGUUACAUUUUAAUUUGGGUUUUUAUGGCCAGGGAUGGAGGUGGCGGCGAUGGUGGGCGGGAAACUGAUUUUAGGUUUGAGGUAGGUGUGGGGGUACGGUGAGAGGAAGAAGACGAUUGUUUUUUUAUUCUAAU